CAGCAGCAGCCACGGGAAUACAGAGGGUGCGAGCGUUAAUCGGAUUUACUGGGCGUAAAGCGUGCGUAGGCGGCUUUUUAAGUCGGAUGUGAAAUCCCUGAGCUUAACUUAGGAAUUGCAUUCGAUACUGGGAAGCUAGAGUAUGGGAGAGGAUGGUAGAAUUCCAGGUGUAGCGGUGAAAUGCGUAGAUAUCUGGAGGAAUACCGAUGGCGAAGGCAGCCAUCUGGCCUAAUACUGACGCUGAGGUACGAAAGCAUGGGGAGCAAACAGGAUUAGAUACCCCUGUAGUCCCUGUCUCUUAUAA
rnacentral:rRNA from 1 species